rnacentral:rRNA from 1 species
GAUGAACGCUGGCGGCGUGCCUAAUACAUGCAAGUCGAGCGAACGGACGAGGAGCUUGCUUCUCUGAUGUUAGCGGCGGACGGGUGAGUAACACGUGGAUAACCUACCUAUAAGACUGGGAUAACUUCGGGAAACCGGAGCUAAUACCGGAUGAUAUUUUGAACCGCAUGGUUCAAAAGUGAAAGACGGUCUUGCUGUCACUUAUAGAUGGAUCCGCGCUGCAUUAGCUAGUUGGUAAGGUAACGGCUUACCAAGGCAACGAUGCAUAGCCGACCUGAGAGGGUGAUCGGCCACACUGGAACUGAGACACGGUCCAGACUCCUACAGGAGGCAGCAGUAGGGAAUCUUCCGCAAUGGGCGAAAGCCUGACGGAGCAACGCCGCGUGAGUGAUGAAGGUCUUCGGAUCGUAAAACUCUGUUAUUAGGGAAGAACAUAUGUGUAAGUAACUGUGCACAUCUUGACGGUACCUAAUCAGAAAGCCACGGCUAACUACGUG